rnacentral:piRNA from 5 species
UGUAAUGGUUAGCACUCUGGACUUU